rnacentral:rRNA from 1 species
UACGAGGGGGGCGAGCGUUGUUCGGAAUUAUUGGGCGUAAAGAGCUCGUAGGCGGUUUGUUGCGUCGGCUGUGAAAUCCCGAGGCUCAACCUCGGGUCUGCAGUCGAUACGAGCAAACUAGAGUGUUGCAGGGGAGACUGGAAUUCCUGGUGUAGCGGUGAAAUGCGCAGAUAUCAGGAGGAACACCGGUGGCGAAGGCGGGUCUCUGGGCAACAACUGACGCUGAGGAGCGAAAGCGUGGGGAGCGAACAGG